AGCCUGUAGUAAUAUUUCAGGUGAAGCCUGCUCAAUGCAUAUGUAAAUAGCCGCGGAACUUUAACCGUGCUAAGGUAGCGUAAUCAUUUGUCUUUUAAAUGAAGACUGUAUGAAUGACUUAAUGGGAUUAAGCUGUCUUGAUAAGGUUUUAUAAAACUUAUUUAAUAGGUGAAAAUUCCUUUAGAAUUAAAAAAGACGAGAAGACCCUAAGAGUUUAGAUUAACAGAGAACUUACUCUUAGAUUUUUGUUGGGGCAACAGAGGAGUUAACCUCCUUUAUAUACUUGAAAUAGUUUUGAAAGAAUAAUACUACCUUAGGGAUAACAGCACAAUCUGUUUCAGGUUUGUGACCUCGAUGUUGGAUUAGGUUUAGUCUUCUCCAGAAGAGAAAUAUUAUGGCUCUGUUCGAGCAAUAUUACCU
rnacentral:rRNA from 1 species